GGCUUUGUAGUGUAGUGGUUAUCACUUGAGAUUCUGACGUGGUUGGUCACGAGAUCGCCAAGUUCUCAAAACCCAGGUUCGAGUCCUGGCAAGGCCU